rnacentral:lncRNA from 10 species
GGGCUCCUCACACCUUACCAUAUACCCCGCAGGCUGCUGCCAGGGCUGCUGCCCCACUCCCUCCUCCUCCUUCCCCUGGAGUCAGUGGUGGGAAGCUUCCCAGGAGAGUCCUCAGCAACCUCUGGAACACAGGACUUGGCCAUGACUGUCUCCUGUCCCUGUGUGGGCCCAGAUGGUUGAGGUACAUCUAGGGGUUCUCAUCCCAGCUAGGCUCAGGUUGGGGCAGCCUGAAACAGGAUGGGUCCCCUUCUAGAAGUCCCU